rnacentral:rRNA from 1 species
GACAGAGGUGCCAAGCGUUAGGCGGAAUCACUGGGCUUAAAGCGCGUGUAGGCGGGCCCGAACGUCGGCCGCUGAAAUCCCCCGGCUCAACCGGGGAACGGGCGCCGAUACGGCGGGCCUCGAGGGGCGUAGGGGGGUCGGGAACUUCCGGUGGAGCGGUGAAAUGCGUUGAGAUCGGAAGGAACGCCCGUGGCGAAAGCGCGGCCCUGGACGCCCACUGACGCUGAGACGCGAAAGCCAGGGGAGCGAACGGG